rnacentral:rRNA from 1 species
AGCUCCAAUAGCGUAUAUUAAAGUUGUUGCAGUUAAAAAGCUCGUAGUUGGAUUUCUGGUAGUGGGCAAGAGCUCGUUGCACGUUGCUCGCGUUCAUUGCCAUCCUUCUGUUAACCUAUCAGGGCAUUCUAUUGUCAGUUAGGGGCUCAGAUAUUUUACCUUGAGAAAAUUAGAGUGUUUCAGGCAGGCUUGUGCCCGGAUACAUUAGCAUGGAAUAAUGGAAUAGGACUUUUAGCCUCUUCUGUUGGUCUGAGGGGUUGAAGUAAUGAUUAAUAGGGAUAGUUGGGGGCAUUAGUACUUAACUGUCAGAGGUGAAAUUCUCGGAUUUGUUAAAGACUAACUUAUGCGAAAGCAUUUGCCAAGGAUGUUUUCA